GCGGGGUGGAGCAGUCUGGUAGCUCGUCGGGCUCAUAACCCGAAGGUCGCAGGUUCAAAUCCUGCCCCCGCC
rnacentral:tRNA from 1 species